GAUGAACGCUGGCGGCGUGCCUAAUACAUGCAAGUCGAACGAGACCUUCGGGUCUAGUGGCGGACGGGUGAGUAACACGUUGGUACCUACCCCAAAGUGGGGAAUAACUGGCCGAAAGGUCGGCUAAUACCGCAUAAUCCCGCAAGGGUAAAGUAGUAAUACGCUUUGGGAGGGGCCUGCGUCUGAUUAGCUAGUUGGUAGGGUAAUGGCCUACCAAGGCGACGAUCAGUAGCUGGAUCGAGAGGUUGACCAGCCACACUGGGACUGAGAUACGGCCCAGACUCCUACGGGAGGCAGCAGUAAGGAAUCUUCCACAAUGGACGAAAGUCUGAUGGAGCAACGCCGCGUGCAGGAUGACGGUCUUCGGAUUGUAAACUGCUUUUAUAUGGGAAGAUUACGACGGUACCAUAUGAAUAAGCACCGGCUAACUACGUGCCAGCAGCCGCCGUAACAC
rnacentral:rRNA from 1 species